rnacentral:tmRNA from 1 species
ACUCAGUUCACUGCUGCUCCCCCAAAACGCAGACGCAUUGCUACUUUUGAGGAUAUAGAUUUAUAAUGUCUAAGGAAGUGGCUGUACUCUAUGCUCAAAUUUAUGGAUUAUGCAUGGACCUCAGCCUGGUACCAUACAUGGACCCUAGCAGCCUAAAUCUUAGAUCCAUCUCCAAUAAUUAUCACAAGCUCUGUCAGAUUCAAAAAAUAAUUGGUGGCCAACUUCUAGAAAAUAAUACCCAAACACCUUGCGCUCUCACGCUGGAACUUGAACACUUGCUCUGUAAUGCUGUAGAAUUGUGUAAAAGUGUACUCUCACAUGAAAAUACCUAUGAUCAUGUACUCUGUAGCAAACAGUGUGUUUUGGAUGUUAGUUGCCUUGCCUGCUUCUAUGGUGGAGAUACUGUGGAUAUACCAUUGGACACCAUCAAUAAAAUUGACAUGUUAUUCAAAAAGCUGAAUGUGACAUUUUAUUGCACUUCGUUUCACCAAACCCUGCCUCUACUGAGGAACGUUUUUGCUCAGUUGGGAAAAUUCAGAGGGGUAUCACCCAUCCCAUCCCCAGGUAUCUAUGAUAUAUGCCAGCCCUGUAUUCAAUGCCUACAACAGGUGGAAUAUUUGCCAAAUCAGGGCCUUUCUAAAGACACCUUGCUCAGGAAGACCAUCUGCAAUCAUGUGUUUCCCAUGGUGCCCCCCGAGCCCAUAGACUUUGCACAAGUAGAGGAAUCACCAUGUGCUGUGUCAAAGCCCUUAGAACAUGAUAAGGCGGUCCUAGCACGCCCCCAAGCAAUGGUGGAGUAUAAUGUGUUCUCUGAGCCCACCAGCGACGUACUACAAUUAUCUAACUUGCUGUAUUGGACAUCCUGUGAGCAGCUCACUACCUCCAGCAACAUCCACUGCUCUAACCUGUCAAACAUCUAUACACGUGAAAAUAAGCUCCUGAACGCCUCAAAGCAGGUGGGGAGCCUCUGUCACCGGUCCUUGAGAAAGUAUACGCCCUCGCCUUUUGAGUUGUUAUUUACUGGAGGCCUGGUAACAGAACAUUCCAAAAUUGUUGCGGCCCUAAAGGAUGACUGUACAUCCAGUUUUCUCAAGAAAACAAAUUAUGCUGACUCGCUCAAGCAUAAAAAUGAAAUGUUCGCCUCCCUACAGAGUCUCCUAACAGGCUCCCAGCCCAGCCAAAAACUCACUCAAGAAAAUGCCCCCCAACAGAAAAACCCUGAAAAGGGCUUUGCCUACGAUGCUCAUAAAAGAAAGGAGGCCUACUUUAAAAAGCUAGCUGAUGAAGGGCUCAAAAGACUAACAAAUUCUUUGGAUACCAACAUUGGAAAUCUGGAAAAACUCUUAGGAAUCAGGAUCUGGGGUCAAUCGGUUUAUGCUGAGCUGGCCAAACUCCUGAAUCAUUUCCUUAUUAGAAAAUUUCUAGUCCAAAACGCCACCUCCACAGAUUGGACAGUGGAGGAAGCAAGGGAAAAGUCCCAAUUUAUUAAGAGUAUACUAUAUGGGCACUCAAUUAAUAGGGAGCACAUCCAAAGCCUGGGAUCUGUGUACUACAAAUUACUUAAUGGUCCCCUCAUAAAAGAAAGAGGACUGUUCAAACUCCCUAUAAACAUCCUUUUGGCACAGUCUUUGGAUGCGGCAGAGGUCCUACCUCACCAGAAAAUUGCCAUGUGUUUUGAUGUUACCAACCUAAAAAGUCCCAAGGACUGGAUCGAUGUUCAGUUCAAUCAAUUUUAUAAUUUUCUCCCAAACACCCAUCUGGCGGGUGUACAAGAGCAAGCUUGGAGGUAUAUCAGAGAGUUGGUCCUAAGUGUCACCGUCUACAAUGUCAUCUGGGAAAAAUCCCUGUCCAUCUGCUCCCCUUCUGACUUUCAAGACAUCAAAGACUUUGAGGCACGCUCAGUAGACCUGGACACUGUAUGCCUGACGUUCGAGGCCUCUUGCCCACUCAUACUGAUAUCAAAAAAUCAAUUGAGGGUAUUUAAAGACAUCUAUACAAUGUUAAAUUAUCACUUGUACAUUUGAACCGAUUCAGCCAGUGUUGGAUGUACCCUACAGUGAAAAGUAUGAGAGUCGCCCACCUAACCAAUCUCCUAACCCUUCUGUGUCUGCUGUGCCACACGCAUCUCUACGUAUGUCAGCCAACCACUCUGAGGCAGCCAUCAGACAUGACCCCAGCCCAGGACGCUCCAACAGAGACUCCCCCACCCCUCUCAACUAACACUAACAGAGGAUUUGAGUACUUUCGCGUGUGUGGGGUGGCUGCCACGGGGGAGACCUUCAGGUUUGAUUUAGACAAAACAUGCCCCAGUACACAAGAUAAGAAGCAUGUGGAGGGCAUCUUGCUCGUGUAUAAGAUCAACAUCGUGCCCUACAUCUUCAAAAUCAGGAGAUAUAGAAAAAUAAUUACUCAACUGACCAUCUGGCGAGGCCUAACCACUAGUUCAGUCACUGGUAAAUUUGAAAUGGCCACUCAGGCCCACGAGUGGGAAGUGGGCGACUUUGACAGCAUCUAUCAGUGCUACAAUAGCGCCACCAUGGUGGUAAACAACGUCAGACAGGUGUAUGUGGACAGAGAUGGGGUCAAUAAAACUGUGAACAUACGCCCUGUUGAUGGUCUAACAGGGAAUAUCCAAAGAUACUUUAGUCAGCCCACCCUUUAUUCAGAACCUGGUUGGAUGCCUGGCUUUUAUCGUGUUCGAACCACCGUUAACUGUGAAAUUGUAGACAUGGUGGCACGCUCCAUGGAUCCCUAUAACUACAUCGCUACCGCCCUGGGAGACAGCCUGGAGCUCUCCCCGUUUCAAACCUUUGACAACACCAGCCAGUCUACUGCGCCUAAGAGAGCUGAUAUGAGGGUCAGGGAGGUCAAGAAUUACAAGUUUGUAGAUUAUAAUAACAGGGGAACUGCCCCCGCUGGACAAAGCAGGACCUUUCUAGAGACUCCCUCUGCCACUUACUCCUGGAAAACAGCCACCAGACAAACUGCCACGUGCGACCUGGUGCACUGGAAAACAUUCCCUCGCGCCAUCCAAACUGCUCAUGAACAUAGCUACCAUUUUGUGGCCAAUGAAGUCACCGCCACCUUCAAUACACCCCUGACUGAGGUAGAAAAUUUCACCAGCACGUAUAGCUGCGUCAGUGACCAGAUCAAUAAGACCAUCUCUGAAUAUAUCCAAAAGUUGAACAACUCCUACGUGGCCAGUGGGAAAACACAGUAUUUCAAGACUGAUGGUAACCUGUACCUCAUCUGGCAACCACUCGAACAUCCAGAGAUUGAAGACAUAGACGAGGACAGCGACCCAGAACCAACCCCCGCCCCACCAAAGUCCACAAGGAGAAAAAGAGAGGCAGCUGACAAUGGAAACUCAACAUCUGAGGUCUCAAAGGGCUCAGAAAAUCCGCUCAUUACGGCCCAAAUUCAAUUUGCCUAUGACAAGCUGACCACCAGCGUCAACAACGUGCUUGAGGAGUUGUCCAGGGCGUGGUGUAGAGAACAGGUCAGAGACACCCUCAUGUGGUAUGAGCUUAGCAAGGUCAACCCUACGAGUGUGAUGUCUGCCAUUUAUGGAAAGCCUGUCGCUGCCAGGUACGUGGGCGACGCCAUAUCUGUGACAGACUGUAUCUAUGUGGACCAAAGUUCAGUCAACAUCCACCAGAGCUUGCGGCUGCAGCAUGAUAAAACCACCUGCUACUCGAGACCUAGAGUCACCUUCAAAUUUAUAAACAGUACAGACCCGCUAACUGGCCAGUUGGGUCCUAGAAAAGAAAUUAUCCUCUCCAACACAAACAUAGAAACAUGCAAGGAUGAGAGUGAACACUACUUCAUUGUGGGGGAAUACAUUUACUAUUAUAAAAAUUACAUUUUUGAAGAAAAGCUAAACCUCUCAAGCAUCGCUACCCUAGACACAUUUAUAGCCCUCAAUAUCUCAUUUAUUGAAAAUAUCGACUUCAAAACAGUAGAACUGUACUCCUCUACUGAAAGGAAACUCGCAUCGAGCGUCUUUGAUAUAGAAUCCAUGUUUAGGGAAUAUAACUAUUACACCUACAGCCUCGCGGGCAUUAAGAAGGACCUAGACAACACCAUCGACUACAAUAGAGACAGACUGGUUCAGGACCUGUCAGACAUGAUGGCUGAUCUGGGAGACAUUGGAAGAUCUGUGGUGAAUGUGGUCAGCUCGGUAGUCACAUUUUUCAGUAGUAUUGUGACAGGGUUCAUUAAAUUCUUUACCAACCCUCUAGGGGGAAUAUUCAUUCUCCUAAUUAUUGGUGGAAUAAUCUUCUUGGUGGUAGUCCUAAAUAGAAGAAACUCACAGUUUCACGAUGCACCCAUCAAAAUGCUGUACCCUUCUGUUGAAAACUACGCUGCCAGACAGGCGCCACCUCCCUAUAGCGCAUCACCUCCAGCUAUAGACAAAGAGGAAAUUAAGCGCAUACUUUUGGGCAUGCAUCAGGUACACCAGGAAGAAAAGGAAGCACAGAAACAACUAACCAACUCUGGCCCUACUUUGUGGCAGAAAGCCACAGGAUUCCUUAGAAAUCGCCGGAAGGGAUACAGCCAACUUCCUCUGGAAGAUGAAUCAACUUCCCUCUAGUGGCCACCCCAUGACUCAGACACUUUAAAAACUAAUACUUUGAAUAAUAAACUGGUUUCUGUCCACCUUA